GAUGAACGCUGGCGGCGUGCUUAACACAUGCAAGUCGAACGAAGCACUUUAUUUGAUUUCCUUCGGGACUGAUUAUUUUGUGACUGAGUGGCGGACGGGUGAGUAACGCGUGGGUAACCUGCCUUGUACAGGGGGAUAACAGUUGGAAACGGCUGCUAAUACCGCAUAAGCGCACAGCAUCGCAUGAUGCAGUGUGAAAAACUCCGGUGGUAUAAGAUGGACCCGCGUUGGAUUAGCUAGUUGGUGAGGUACGGCCCACCAAGGCGACGAUCCAUAGCCGACCUGAGAGGGUGACCGGCCACAUUGGGACUGAGACACGGCCCAAACUCCUACGGGAGGCAGCAGUGGGGAAUAUUGCACAAUGGGCGAAAGCCUGAUGCAGCGACGCCGCGUGAGCGAAGAAGUAUUUCGGUAUGUAAAGCUCUAUCAGCAGGGAAGAUAAUGACGGUACCUGACUAAGAAGCACCGGCUAAAUACGUG
rnacentral:rRNA from 1 species